CAAGGGGCCGACGGGGGGAUCCUCAGGGGACAGAGGCUGGGAGGUGAGACUUGCGGAAGAGAUGGCCAGGAAGAGCUUCUGGGGCCUGAGGGAGCAGAUGGAAAAAGCACUGUGCUUGGGACAAAGAAAUCUGUUUGUGCUAUUGUUCACUCACACUUGUUCAUCAAGGCCUUUGAGUCCUCAAAGGUAGAAUUUACCUCUAAAUAGAAAGAUGGCAACUAAAGUACAUCUAUCCUGCCAGCAUCCAUUUGGUUGAGCCUCCUUUUGGCUCCCAAAGAAAUCUUCUGCCAGCUUCUCUUUCCCCUGUCUC